UUUUGGUACCUAUAUUUUAGAUUUGGAACGUAGCGAGGAAUUUAUUGGUUUUACAAUGGUGUUUAUUUUUUUCCGUAGUAUCUAAUGUUGCACUUAUUCUAAAAGAAAAUAUUAUCUAAUUGGUACUUUUUAAAGGUCGUCAUUCGAUUUUCCGGGUGGUUUUUUUAUUAUAAUUGGGAAAAAUCGGGGAAAAAAACGCAGGAAAAACGUACAUGUGUAAAAGAAACU